GAUGAACGCUGGCGGCGUGCCUAAUACAUGCAAGUCGAGCGAACAGAUAAGGAGCUUGCUCCUUUGACGUUAGCGGCGGACGGGUGAGUAACACGUGGGUAACCUACCUAUAAGACUGGGAUAACUUCGGGAAACCGGAGCUAAUACCGGAUAACAUUUGGAACCGCAUGGUUCUAAAGUGAAAGAUGGUUUUGCUAUCACUUAUAGAUGGACCCGCGCCGUAUUAGCUAGUUGGUAAGGUAACGGCUUACCAAGGCGACGAUACGUAGCCGACCUGAGAGGGUGAUCGGCCACGCGGGAACUGAGACACGGUCCAGACUCCUACGGGAGGCAGCAGUAGGGAAUCUUCCGCAAUGGGCGAAAGCCUGACGGAGCAACGCCGCGUGAGUGAUGAAGGGUUUCGGCUCGUAAAACUCUGUUAUUAGGGAAGAACAAACGUGUAAGUAACUAUGCACGUCUUGACGGUACCUAAUCAGAAAGCCACGGCUAACUACGUGCCAGCCGCCGCCGUAACAC
rnacentral:rRNA from 1 species